rnacentral:tRNA from 1 species
GGGGCGGUAGCUCAGCUGGUUAGAGCAGGGGACUCAUAAUCCCUGGGCCGCGGGUUCGAGUCCCGCCCGCCCUACCG